rnacentral:rRNA from 1 species
UUGCAAAGAGUGGCGAACGGGUGAGUAACACGUGGGAAACCUACCUCUUAGCAGGGGAUAACAUUUGGAAACAGAUGCUAAUACCGUAUAACAAUAGCAACCGCAUGGUUGCUACUUAAAAGAUGGUUCUGCUAUCACUAAGAGAUGGUCCCGCGGUGCAUUAGUUAGUUGGUGAGGUAAUGGCUCACCAAGACGAUGAUGCAUAGCCGAGUUGAGAGACUGAUCGGCCACAAUGGGACUGAGACACGGCCCAUACUCCUACGGGAGGCAGCAGUAGGGAAUCUUCCACAAUGGGCGAAAGCCUGAUGGAGCAACGCCGCGUGUGUGAUGAAGGGUUUCGGCUCGUAAAACACUGUUGUAAGAGAAGAAUGACAUUGAGAGUAACUGUUCAAUGUGUGACGGUAUCUUACCAGAAAGGAACGGCUAAAUACGUGCCAGCAGCCGCGGUAAUACGUAUGUUCCAAGCGUUAUCCGGAUUUAUUGGGCGUAAAGCGAGCGCAGACGGUUA